rnacentral:rRNA from 1 species
AUACGGAGGGUGCAAGCGUUAAUCGGAAUUACUGGGCGUAAAGCGUGCGUAGGCGGCUUGAUAAGUCGGAUGUGAAAUCCCCGGGCUUAACCUGGGAAUUGCAUUCGAUACUGUCAGGCUAGAGUGUGGUAGAGGGAAGUGGAAUUUCCGGUGUAGCGGUGAAAUGCGUAGAUAUCGGAAAGAACAUCAGUGGCGAGGGCGGCUUCCUGGAUCAACACUGACGCUGAGGUGCGAAAGCGUGGGGAGCAAACAGGAUUAGAUACCCCAGUAGUCC